rnacentral:rRNA from 1 species
AGGACGAACGCUGGCGGCGUGCUUAACACAUGCAAGUCGAGCGGAAAGGCCCUUCGGGGUACUCGAGCGGCGAACGGGUGAGUAACACGUGAGUAACCUGCCCUUCACUUUGGGAUAACCCUCGGAAACGGGGGCUAAUACCGGAUAUGACUUCCUCGCGCAUGUGGGGUGGUGGAAAGUUUUUCGGUGGGGGAUGGGCUCGCGGCCUAUCAGCUUGUUGGUGGGGUAAUGGCCUACCAAGGCGACGACGGGUAGCCGGCCUGAGAGGGCGACCGGCCACACUGGGACUGAGACACGGCCCAGACUCCUACGGGGGGCAGCAGUGAGGAAUUUUCGUCAAUGGGGCAACCCUGAACGAGCAACGCCGCGUGCAGGAAGAAGGUUUUCGGAUCGUAAACUGCUUUUCUCGGGGAAGAGAACGGACGGUACCGAGGAAUCAGCCCCGGCUAACUACGCGCCAGCAGCCGAC